rnacentral:lncRNA from 1 species
CCAGCUUUCUUUCUUAACAGCAGCCUUGAAAUAGCACCUUAGCAGAUGACGUGGGCACCUGGCGGUUCGAGCUUCUGACGCAGAUACCAGAGCGUGGCCUCCGAGAAGUUCAGC